GACAGCGUGGCUUAGUGGUUUGAGUGUUGGACUAUGACUCGAGACCAAGGUUCGAUUCCCUGCUUGGCCA